UGUGCACAAUAUACUCAGUAAAUGUUUUAAAUAUUUUUUUUCUACUCGAAAAAACAAGCGUACAGGAUUUAGAUGCAAGGAUUUGAUCAGCUACAUUCGCAAACUGACUGGAUGUAACCCUCUGGCCCAAAGUUUGUAUCAGUUACUCUGGAGGAAUGAGAGCCUGUCCAGGAAUCAAAAGGUAACCUAUGUGAUCAUUUGCCUCUAGAAAAUGUGAUUUUCUUCUUCAGGUAAAGACUUGUUAUUUCUCUCCCUGUAGAUCGCAGUAGUUGAAGGCUUGUACAUGCUCUUCAGAGAGCUUUUGCCACAGCUUGGAACAAACCGAGGACAUAGGAUCAUUGAGGACCCUGACGUCUUUGAGUAUUCAACAUACUGCUGGGCACAUCUCCUGUCAGAAGCAAAGAAAGAGAAAACAGAACAUGAGAACUACGCACCAUUUUCUCUGAUGUCUGAAGAAGGCAGACGUUUCUGUGAUCCUGUCACUGUACCUGGAGUACCAGGUGUCUUUGAAAGAGCAGUUGUGCUUCAGAAAAUCCGAGAUGGCGAGAAGAUUCCAAACUGCACUGAAGAGGUUCUGCGAGAAACAUCAAUCAGCAGGGCCACUGAUGUUGAGAAGAUUUUGCUCAGCGUUCACCCGUCAAUUAAAACAUAUGAUCUCUGGAUUUCUCAUGACAGUUUGACAAGUCAGAAGUAUGUAUGAUCAAAUUUCAUGCUCAAGAAAGGAACAAUAAGAUAACACACAGACAUAGCUGUCGACAGAUUCUCACUUGUAAUGCACAGACUAC
rnacentral:lncRNA from 1 species